rnacentral:rRNA from 1 species
CAAUAGCGUAUAUUUAAGUUGUUGCAGUUAAAAAGCUCGUAGUUGGAUUUCGGGUGUGAACGACCGGUCCGUCUUUGAUGUGUACUGGUUGGUUGCGCCUUAUUGUCGAGGACGUGGUUCUAGCUUUCAUUAGCCGGGACACGGAGUCGGCAGCGUUACUUUGAGAAAAUUAGAGUGUUCAAAGCAGGCUAUCGCUCUGAUUACUACAGCAUGGAAUAACACGAUAGGACUCCGAGCCUAUUCUGUUGGUCUUCGGGACCGGAGUAAUGAUUAAGAGGGACAGUUGGGGGCAUUCGUAUUCCGAUGUCAGAGGUGAAAUUCUUGGAUUAUCGGAAGACGAGCAUCUGCGAAAGCAUUUGCCAAGGAUGUUUUCAUUAA